rnacentral:rRNA from 1 species
AUUGAACGCUGGCGGCAUGCUUUACACAUGCAAGUCGAACGGCAGCGCGGGCUUCGGCCUGGCGGCGAGUGGCGAACGGGUGAGUAAUGCAUCGGAACGUGCCCAGUAGUGGGGGAUAGCCCGGCGAAAGCCGGAUUAAUACCGCAUACGACCUGAGGGUGAAAGCGGGGGACCGAAAGGCCUCGCGCUAUUGGAGCGGCCGAUGUCGGAUUAGCUAGUUGGUGGGGUAAAGGCUUACCAAGGCGACGGUCCGUAGCUGGUCUGAGAGGACGACCAGCCACACUGGGACUGAGACACGGCCCAGACUCCUACGGAGGCAGCAGUGGGGAAUUUUGGACAAUGGGGGCAACCCUGAUCCAGCCAUGCCGCGUGCGGGAAGAAGGCCUUCGGGUUGUAAACCGCUUUUGUUCGGGAAGAAAUCCUCUGGGCUAAUACCCCGGGGGGAUGACGGUACCGGAAGAAUAAGCACCGGCUAACUACGUG